rnacentral:rRNA from 1 species
UACGGAGGGAGAUAGCGUUGUUCGGAAUUACUGGGCGUAAAGCGCGCGUAGGCGGCUUUGUAAGUUAGAGGUGAAAGCCCGGGGCUCAACCCCGGAACUGCCUUUAAAACUGCAUCGCUUGAAUCCAGGAGAGGUGAGUGGAAUUCCGAGUGUAGAGGUGAAAUUCGUAGAUAUUCGGAAGAACACCAGUGGCGAAGGCGGCUCACUGGACUGGUAUUGACGCUGAGGUGCGAAAGCGUGGGGAGCAAACAGG